GACGAACGCUGGCGGUGUGCCUAAUACAUGCAAGUCGUACGCAGUUGCGACCGGGUGAGUAACGCGUAGCUCACUGCCUAUUAGAGGGGGAUAACUACUGGAAACGAUAGCUAAUACCGCAUACCAGUAGAUGGACCUGCGUUGUAUUAGCUAGUAGGGAGGGUAAUGGCCUACCUAGGCGACGAUACAUAGCCGACCUGGGGGGGAGAUCGGCCACACGGGGACUGGGCCACGGCCCAGGCUCCUACGGGAGGGAGCAGUGGGGAAUCUUCGGCAAUUGGGGGAACCCUGACCGAGCAACGCGGCGUGAGUGAGGAAGGUUUUCGGAUCGUAAAGGUCUGUUGUUAAGGAAGCGGUAUCUAACCAGAAAACCACGGCUAACUACGAGCCAGCAGCCGCGGUAAUUC
rnacentral:rRNA from 1 species